CAGUAGCCGCGGUAAUACGUAGGUGGCAAGCGUUGUCCGGAAUUAUUGGGCGUAAAGCGUGCGCAGGCGGUUCGUUAAGACAGAUGUGAAAUCCCCGGGCUUAACCUGGGAACUGCAUUUGUGACUGGCGGGCUAGAGUAUGGCCGAGGGGGGUAGAAUUCCACGUGUAGCAGUGAAAUGCGUAGAGAUGUGGAGGAAUACCGAUGGCGAAGGCAGCCCCCUGGGCCAAUACUGACGCUCAUGCACGAAAGCGUGGGGAGCAAACAGGAUUAGAUACCCCAGUAGUCCCUGUCUCUUAUAC
rnacentral:rRNA from 1 species